AUGAACUGCAGCUCUCAUCCUCCACCGCCUCAGUCAGCGUCUUUCCCUUCACUGAACAAAAGCCCUGUUUCCGCGGCCUCCAACUCUGCACAGUGCCCACACGCCUCCCGCCCCCCCGGGCCUUCCUUCUGUCAAGUCGACUCCCUCUUCAGAUGGCUCCCGCAGAAGCCUGUCAGUCAGGGAGGACCAGGAAGCCAGAUCCCAGCAACCCCACGUCUCACACACUCCCCUUCAACACCGUCCACAGAACUUCAGGACUCCAGCUGCCUCCCCUUCACACUGAAGAGCGGGAGCAGAGGACCCGCUUUGCUGACCCUGAGAAGCAGGACAGACCCCCAGGAGCAGAUGAGCCAUGAACCAGCGGAAGGCGGCCUGGACGCCUGCGAUGCCUCAGGACGUCCUGCCAAAGAGCUCCUUGGGGAGGAACGGCCACUGUGCCACUGCUCUUGCUGA
rnacentral:lncRNA from 1 species